ensembl:piRNA 21ur-3463 ncRNA
UAUUGAUUGGAUUUUUGUUAA